rnacentral:rRNA from 1 species
UGCCAGCCGCCGCGGUAAUACGGAGGGUGCAAGCGUUAUCCGGAUUCACUGGGUUUAAAGGGUGCGUAGGCGGAAAUAUAAGUCAGUGGUGAAAGCCCAGAGCUCAACUCUGGAACUGCCAUUGAUACUGUUUUUCUUGAGUAUGGUUGAAGUGGGCGGAAUAUGACAUGUAGCGGUGAAAUGCUUAGAUAUGUCAUAGAACACCGAUUGCGAAGGCAGCUCACUAAACCAUUACUGACGCUGAGGCACGAAAGCGUGGGUAGCGAACAGGAUUAGAUA